UACGUAGGGUGCAAGCGUUGUCCGGAAUUAUUGGGCGUAAAGAGCUCGUAGGCGGUCUGUCACGUCGGCUGUGAAAUCCCGAGGCUCAACCUCGGGUCUGCAGUCGAUACGGGCAAACUAGAGUAUUGCAGGGGAGACUGGAAUUCCUGGUGUAGCGGUGAAAUGCGCAGAUAUCAGGAGGAACACCGGUGGCGAAGGCGGGUCUCGGGGCAAUAACUGACGCUGAGGAGCGAAAGCGUGGGGAGCGAACAGG
rnacentral:rRNA from 1 species